AAGAUGCAGCCCUGAAGACACUAAGGUUACUGCAGAAGGAGGUGUUCCAGCCAUGUAGGAGACCACGGUGCAGCAGUGGAUGUGGCCAGAAGGACAUACAGCUCAUGGAGAACCCCUGCAGGAGCAGGGCGCAUGCCGGAGUUGUAGCCAGUGAAGAGGAGCCUGUGAUGGAGCUGGAGGUCUAGGGGAGCUGCUGCCCAUGGGAGACCCAUGCUGGAGCAGUUCAUUCCUGAAGGAUGGACUCCAUGAUGUGGACACAGAAUAGAGCAACUGAAGUAUGUGGGUAAUCCACGGAGGAUCAGCGUGGGAAGGAUAGCAUCACAUGGGAGGGACCCCAUUCUGGAGAAUGGUGUGAUGUAUGUGCAGAUGAAAGAGAUGAAAAGAGAAAGCACUGCAAACUGAUUGCAAUCCCCAUUUCCUUUCACUACUUGAGGGGGGAGAAAGGGGGUGGAAUGAGGGAAGGUGUUUUUAGUUUGUUUCUAGUUUCCCACUGUUGUAGUCCAUUAUCAGUAGGUAAUACAUUGCUUUAUUCAGCCUACGCUGAGUCUGCUUUUCUCAUGAUAGUAACUGGUUUUUGAUCUCCCUGUCCCUAUCUCAACCCUUGAGCCUCAUGUUUUCUCUGUCUGUUCUUUUGAGGAGGAGGAGGGGUAAGAAAUUAGGCAUUCCACUGCAGUCUCAUUUCCUCUAUAAAUUAAGGUAUGAAAAUUCUUGGAUAUUAUUCCUCAAGUUUAUCCAUCUUAUCUCCGUUGAUUAUACAAGAGCCUACUUGUACCACUAGACAAUAGUAAGUUGAGAGGUAUAGAAAAUUGAUAAGUAGUAAGUAGCAAAACCUCUUGAGAUUAAUCUAUCUCGAAAUAGUAGGAUUAUUUGGGUAGGAUAGGAUUCUUACCACAAUAAAUAAUCCUAAUUGACUAAAAUUAUCAUUAUAUACCGUUUUCUGGUUGUUACUCUCAAAUGAGUCACAUCGUAUAUCUCUAAAUAUGGAAUAUCUUGUUUUUAAGCUUUCUCAAGCUGGUAAGAAUUAGAAAUGCAAGAUACCCAAAACAUUCAGCAAUUACAAGUGGAUUUCAUCCAGAACACUGUCUGUAGGAAGGCAUAAACAGUCUGCUGAAAUUACAGAUUUAUUUGUAGCCAGUGGGAGGUUUGAUUAGGAGUCGUCACAACUAAUAUUGGUAUGAGAUUUAAACUAAAAUGUUCUCUAGAUAAAGAACUUGUAUUUCAUUUUUCAAGUGAAGGCAACAGUUUUACACCAUCAUCUAUUUGCCAGACUCAAAAUAAUCCAUCAUGUUAGCUUGCUAACACAUCUCAUUGCAAAUACUGAGAGGACUGAAAUUUGUCUGAGUCACAAGCAAGGACUGACAUCUUGCUAUGUGUCCCUUAUAGUCAAAGGGUUGCAGUGUGUCAUUUACAGGCCAGUGAAACCCAACCAACUGGGUAAAGUUGUCUUAUUUUGUGACACUCUCUAGUUCAACAGAAAGGGGAGUAACCUGAAGCCUUCUUAGAAAAUGAUCUAUUUAGAAGUGCAUUUUCUUCUAUUCCAUUCCAGCAAACCAAGCUCACUGUGGUCUUCAGUGAGGUCUUAAUCCAAGUGCUACUCUAUUCAUAGAAGUAAGGCCGCCUUGAAUGGUAAAGAUGAAUGACACAGAGAAGAAAGGCCCUGAUACUUACCUUACCUCCUUUAGUACAGUGGAUUAUUGUCAAAUGAAUUGUCACACAACCAAGACAUGAUUGAGCCCCACAGCUGGAUUCUUUCUUGCAGUACCUCUUCCUUUUAAAAUCUAGAUUGCAGUAAAUUUUUCCACAUCUCAAAUAUGCAACAAGUGCUGUGUUCUAAAGUUUAGAGAUACAUACCUGAGAAUGUCAUGGAAAAGGUAUUGUGUGGCAACUCAUAGUUAUGUGUAAAAGCUAUCUGCAUUAUCUGUCCUACAGAACCAUUGAACAUGAGUCUUUUUUUCAGUGCAAGCAGUGCACUUGUCAGAAUCUGAUGUGGGAAGAAGUGAUGAAAGAAGAAGGGUGAAUCACAUCCUCUAGCAUAUUAUACCUGCUUCACACAAGGAAGAAUAUUUUUUCUUUUAAUCUAAAUGAAAUAGUGCCCUUGGAUUUUGAAUGUUGUGUACAGAAUCAGUU
ensembl:lncRNA